CCUACGGGUGGCAGCAGUGAGGAAUAUUGGUCAAUGGGCGCGAGCCUGAACCAGCCAAGUAGCGUGAGGGAAGACGGUCCUAUGGAUUGUAAACCUCUUUUGUCGGGGAGCAAAAGACGCCACGCGUGGCGUUCCGAGAGUACCCGAAGAAAAAGCAUCGGCUAACUCCGUGCCAGCAGCCGCGGUAAUACGGAGGGUCCGGGCGUUAUCCGGAUUUAUUGGGUUUAAAGGGAGCGUAGGCCGCGUGUCAAGCGUGCUGUGAAAUUUCCGGGCUCAACCCGGGCCUUGCAGUGGAAACUGGCGUUCUUGAGUACGCGGAAGGCAGGCGGAAGUCGUGGUGUAGCGGUGAAAUGCUUAGAUAUGACGAAGAACCCCGAUUGCGAAGGCAGCUUGCUGCAGCGGAACUGACACUGAUGCUCGAAAGCGCGGGUAUCGAACAGGAUUAGAUACCCGUGUAGUC
rnacentral:rRNA from 1 species